AAUAGAUACCCGGGUAGUCCACGCCGUAAACGAUGAGUGCUAAGUGUUAGAGGGUUUCCGCCCUUUAGUGCUGCAGCUAACGCAUUAAGCACUCCGCCUGGGGAGUACGGCCGCAAGGCUGAAACUCAAAGGAAUUGACGGGGGCCCGCACAAGCGGUGGAGCAUGUGGUUUAAUUCGAAGCAACGCGAAGAACCUUACCAGGUCUUGACAUCCUCUGCCAACCCUAGAGAUAGGGCGUUCCCCUUCGGGGGACAGAGUGACAGGUGGUGCAUGGUUGUCGUCAGCUCGUGUCGUGAGAUGUUGGGUUAAGUCCCGCAACGAGCGCAACCCUUGAUCUUAGUUGCCAGCAUUCAGUUGGGCACUCUAAGGUGACUGCCGGUGACAAACCGGAGGAAGGUGGGGAUGACGUCAAAUCAUCAUGCCCCUUAUGACCUGGGCUACACACGUGCUACAAUGGAUGGUACAAGAGCUGCGAACCCGCGAGGGUAAGCGAAUCUCAUAAAGCCAUUCUCAGUUCGGAUUGUAGG
rnacentral:rRNA from 1 species